UCUCACACCAGAAAACCCUUUUCCUCUUUCUGCCUUUCUCGUAGUCUUGCAUCUCUCUCACACUCACUCGUCGUGCCGCACAGAUCUUCCCACCUCGCCUUCUCCGGCAACAGUUGUAGUACGGUACGUCUCCUUUUUUCAUCGCCCCAUCCGCCUCGCCUCUCACUCGCCGCCACCGUCUUCGAAUUUCCCCUUUUUUCUUCUCGUUCUUCUCCAUCCACGAUUUUUGAAUUUUGUUGUAUUUAUCUGCUAUUCAAAUUGUACCUAUUUAUGGGUUGGUGAAUCUUGAAUUUUU
rnacentral:lncRNA from 1 species